rnacentral:lncRNA from 1 species
GAGGUAUUGAUCCCUUGACAUUAUUUGAUCUGACCUUACAACACAUGGUACGCAACGAAGCCUUCUUGUUGCUACAUUAUAGACGUUUGAAUAAUACCAGCACAAUGAUUAAACCCUUACCAUACAAAUUCCCCUAGCUCACCUGGAAGCUUGGUAUGAGGCCUAACCUUGUCUCAAGUUGGGGUAUACGAACCUCAAAACAGAAGUUGUGUUUCUUCUCAGAUGAUGACGUGAUCUUGGUUUUAAAAUACGCGUAUAACAUAAUAAUGUGAGGAGAUCGCAUCGUGUGAUGCCAUAUCAGGAUGUGCACAUUACAUGAUGCGGUUUGAUCGGUGCCUUGCACAAUUGAUUAGUAUAUCUAAUAGUAAUUGUACCCUGAUUGCGAAGGGUUUGAAUUCUUUCAUAUCUAUUCGAAGUUU